AUUGAACGCUGGCGGCAGGCCUAACACAUGCAAGUCGAGCGGAUGAAGGGAGCUUGCUCCUGGAUUCAGCGGCGGACGGGUGAGUAAUGCCUAGGAAUCUGCCUGGUAGUGGGGGAUAACGUCCGGAAACGGGCGCUAAUACCGCAUACGUCCUGAGGGAGAAAGUGGGGGAUCUUCGGACCUCACGCUAUCAGAUGAGCCUAGGUCGGAUUAGCUAGUUGGUGGGGUAAAGGCCUACCAAGGCGACGAUCCGUAACGGGUCUGAGAGGAUGAUCGGUCACACUGGAACUGAGACACGGUCCAGACUCCUACGGGAGGCAGCAGUGGGGAAUAUUGGACAAUGGGCGAAAGCCUGAUCCAGCCAUGCCGCGUGUGUGAAGAAGGUCUUCGGAUUGUAAAGCACUUUAAGUUGGGAGGAAGGGCAGUAAGUUAAUACCUUGCUGUUUUGACGUUACCAACAGAAUAAGCACCGGCUAACUUCGUG
rnacentral:rRNA from 1 species